rnacentral:lncRNA from 1 species
UAUAUUUAUUUAUUUAUUUAUUAUUAUUAUAAUAAAGCAAAGCUAAUCCGGCAGUUGUUGCAUUAGCCACCCACAUUAAUCCCUUACAAAUUUGUUCCAAAUAUAAGGUUAAUAUUAUUUUAAUAUGAAUAAUAUUUUAAUACCCCAUAAUAUAAUGUAACAAACAUGCCUUAUAUACACUAAUGAUCGAGAUUUGUCCUUUCGAAUAACAAAUAAAGUACAGUCAGAACCAUUAUUGGUUUCUUACCCCUGUCUUGAAUAAAUAGUAUAAGGUAAAUAUAUCAAUUGAAAGAGAAGAAAAAUCUCUCCUCUCUUUCCAUAUUUUUGAUCCAUCAACAUCCAUUUAAUAGCAAAUAAUUAGCCAAAGCCUGCAAAUGCAUGCUCUCUAGUCAAGUGUAUGCCAACAAAUGUCAGUUCAAGUUUUCAGUUUUACUCAAGCAAGCAAAUGGGGUGAGUGUGACAUCAUAUAAGAACAAAACAUAAUCAAAUCAUGUUAAAAAAUUUACAACUUUUGAUACCCUUUUUCCUCUUAUAGCCUGUGGGCAUAUCCUUUCCUGCAGAGUGUUUUUCUCACAACUAACAAGGGGAAAAAAAAAAGGUAAUAAUAAUAAUAAGAAUAAUAAUGAUGAUGGGGAAAAGUUACUAUGCAGAGUCUUUUUUUUUAACCCCAACAACCGUAGCCAUCAUUUGUUUCCUUCAUCACCUCAAAGCAUUAAAGUCCAAAAAAAAGAACAAAUUUAUUACAAAAAAUCAUAAUUGAAGGUUGAGCCUUUUUAUGGCGUCGGGAGCCAAAUCUAUUUACUUGUUGUCAGCAGUGGCAAUGGAAACGUAGGUGAAAUUGAUUUGAGGAUUUAGGAUCUAAAAAGUUCGAUAGUAUAUUAUUGCCUAUUGUUUGUGUUUGAGAAGAUGAAAAUGGCUAGAUCGAUUUACCAUCUUUAGGUAUUUUGUUUCACUGUUUUAAUUGUUUUGGCUUUUACUUUUAUUUAUUAAUUUGCAAAUUACAAACUAUUUUUUUGGUGUGGGUACAUAGUAUACUGAUAAUAUUCCAUUUUGUUUAACGACAGAAUUGCCCUUUAAAAAAGUCAAUUAACAGACAAUUUUUUAGCAUUUGGGGGAUUUUAACUAGUUUUAAAACUUGAGGGGAUUUACUUAAUUUUGAUAAGCUGUUGGAGGUAUCACUCAUUUGCCCAAAUUCUAAACAAUGACAUCUUUUUUAGGAGAGGCCCAUAAUUUUUUUAUUCACUCGAUAUAUAUUACAUCAAUUAGUAUAUAAACUAUAUACCUCAAUUAAAUUAGAGUAGCAUUAUUAUUAUUAUUAUUAUUAAGCAAAAGAAAAAUAUGUACUUCAAAUUCUCCCUUUCACCAUAAACAUGCACACGAUGUAGCCUAAUCUUUUUUUUUUUAAUCUAUCAAUCAAGAUCUUUGCCCCGAACACAAACAUAAUUUGCGUAAAGCCUAAUCUAUUUUUUCUUUUUCUUUUUCUUUUUCUUUUUCCCCCUCAUUUUGCCGUGAAGAAAUUUAAACUUCAAAGUUCUAACUUUUUGUACCACUUUAAAAUCUAUUUAUUAGUAAAAUCAAUUAAUUAGUACUGACAUUCACUUCAUCUAUUUAAGUCCACGAUGAUUUCAAAAUUUUUACGUGCUUGUUCAUUUUUUUUUUUUUUUUACUUUUCAAUUCAUUAUUACUCAUUUUUAUAUUACAUUAGCAAAAAAUGGUUAAUUAGGACCGCCAUGAUUGAGACGAGGCUGACGUCUAGCUAGCUAGAUUGAAGAAUCAAGAGUGUAUAAUCCGUCUAAUCAAAAAAUUUCCACAAUCACUAUCACAGACAUGAUAUAUAGCCAUAACAUCUUCAACAACAAAGCCUUGACAAUUUGACAGGAGUUCCUCUAUAUAUAUAACACGUGCUUUUUCAAUUAUUGUUAAAUUACUUUCACGUGAUCAAUUUUUUUGAGACAUUAAAUGCAUCAAUCAACCAUUUCCUUGUUAAAGGGUUGUUUCAGGAGUCAGGACCACAACUUCUUAGUCGGUUGUUGAAAUGUCAGAGUCCUAGAAUACAAGAUAGUGACGUCUUUCAGACGAGUAACUCGAAAAGUUUCAACACUUUUUUUUUUUUUUUUUUUUUUAAUUCCUGCUCCAACAUCAAGAAGAAGUUUCUAUCAUGGGGU